UUUUACUCUCUCCUGUCUCAAUAUGGUAUCAGAGUGAUAAAUUGCUUCUGUCUUCAUGAUCUGUGCUGUCAUUUCUGGUCAUUCUCCGGUGACCCACGGAUUUUGCAUUCUUCCUUGUUCGAAGUCUGCAAUUUCAUUUUCCUUUCUUUCUUGUCUUGCUGUUCGUCCAUACUUGUUCUAUGGUGACAACAAUUCCAGAUUCGUCCUCCUCAUUGAUGAGCAAUUCCGCCAUCGACGUGGCUCAAGCCUGUAUUUCCUUCAUCAUUCUAAUAGUCUUGGCCUUGUUCUUGUCUCUCAAUCUUUAACCGGGGAUAACUGUGCCUUGUGGAGUCCCGCAAUGUUAAUAGCGCUGUCCGUGAAAAAUAAAUUAGGGUUUAUUGAUGGAUCAAUUGGAAGGCUGACAAUUGGAGAUCCACUGUUCAGUGCAUGGAUCCGCAACAAUCAUAUCGUCAUUUCCUGGAUACUCAAUUCGGUGUCUAAGGAAAUAUUGGCCAGUGUGAUCUACUCAGAGUUUGCACACGAGAUUUGGACAGAUCUCAAGGAGCGAUACCAGCAGAGGAAUGGGCCUCGGAUCUUCCAAUUGCAACGUGAUCUAAUGAACCUAUCCCAAGUUCUUGCAGAUCACUAUCAAACUGAGUAUGUUAUGUCAUUUCUGAUGGGGCUAAAUGACACUUUCGUGCAAGUUAGAGAUCAGUUGCUACUCAUGGACCCUAUUCCCCCUAUCAACAAGGUACUUGCUCUUAUAUCUCAAGAAGAGAAUCAAAGAAAUAUAAUUACCUCUGCUGGUGAGAAUGAAUUUGUAGUAUUUUAUGUGAAACAUGAUGGGAAUAAACUUGGAUAUGGUAGAAAUCAAAAGAAGGAACGUCCUUUUUGUACACACUAUGGGUACAAUGGACAUACCAUUGAAAAAUGCUACAAGUUGCAUGGAUAUUCUCUGGGAUACAAACCUAAACAAAGGACUAACCAACUUGGUCAGGCCAACUCUGCUAUUAUUAGUUAAGUCUCUGAAUGUGUCCCUAAUCAAUCUAAGAAUCAUGAGAAUUUUGGGAGUUUUAUGCAGACCUUAACCCCUGUUCAGUAUCAACAAUUGAUGGGGAUGCUCAGCUCACAUCUUUCUGAUGCUAAGUCCAACAUAGAUGUUCAUGCUUUCCUUGAUCAGGCAUCAGGAUGUCCACCACAUGAGGAUGAUUGGCAGGGGUAAUCUACUUGAAGGACUUUAUGUUUUGGAUGGACUUUCACUGGAGCUUGGCAGCCAAAAUGUAGAUAAGGCCUGUACUCCUUAUGUUUCUGUAGCUAAUGUGAUAAGGAACCAUACUUGACACAGCAAGUUAGGCCAUCCUUCUCUUAAAAAGCUGGUACAAUUGAAGGAUUUGUUGAACUUUACUCAUGCCUACAAGAAGAAUGAUAUUCCCUAUUCAAUUUGUCCCUAGCCAAAUAGAGACGUUUGUCUUUUAUUUCUCAUAAUCACUUGUCUAAGUAUGCAUUUGAUCUUAUACAUUGUGACACUUGGGGUCCAUACCAUAUUCCUAUUUAUGCUGGGCAUCGAUAUUUCUUGACUUUGGUGGAUGAUUGUACACGAUUUGCCUGGGUUUUUCUCAAGAAACAUAAGUCUGAUGCUAGGACUAUUAUUCCCAAGUUUUUCUCCCUUGUUGAGACUGAAUUCCAUACAGUAAUUAAAGGGUUUAGGUCUGACAAUGCCCCUAAGUUGCUGCUUACUGAUUUCUUUGCCUCGAAAGGUGUUGUCCAUCAAUUUUCAUGUGUUUGAGAGGCCUGAACAAAACUCAGUUGUAGAACAUAAGCAUUAGUGCACGCUUAAUGUGGCUAGAGCCUUGUAUUUUCAGUCUCAGGUGCCUAUCAAAUUCUAGGGAGAUUGUGUUCUUACUGCCACAUUUCUGAUAAAUAGAACACUAGCAUCUAUUUUGCAAAAUAAUUCCCCUUAUCAAAUGCUAUAUCAUACCCCUGUGGAUUAUGAUUCUUUUAAAGUAUUUGGCAGCCUAUGCUUUGCAUCUACCUUGCCAUCUCAUAGGAUUAAAUUCCACCCUAGAGCUACAGCUUGUGUGUUUAUUGGUUAUCCUCCAGGUAUUAAAGAAUACAAGCUGUAUGACAUAGCCACUAAAGCAAUUUUUGUCUCUCGAGAUGUUUUUCAUGAACACAUGUUUCCUUUCAAUUCUGUCACACCUUCUGAUGAGGUGAAAGAUCCUUUUCCUACCCUUGUUUUGCCUAAGUCAGCUUCUAACCCUAUACCAUCAUACCUCCACUUACUUCUGUUGUUUCUCCAGGUUCAGAUGAGGAUCAUGCUAUUCUUUCUGAUCCUCACCCUCCUAUUUCCUCUUCUCUUCCUGUCUGCAGGUCUGCUAGAACCACAAAGCCGCCUUCUUAACUUAAGAGACUUUCACUGUAACCUCUUGGAUAGCAGAUCAACACCUCUUCCUCAGACACUGUAUCCCUUGCAUUAAUAUCUUUCUUACACCCAUUUGUCUUCUUCUCAUCGAUCUUUUCUUAUUACAGUGUCUUCCAACGUUUGAACCCCAACACUAGCAUCAAGCUGCCCCAUAUGCUUAUUGGAGGGAUGCCAUGGUUGCUGAAUUGGAGGCUAUGCAGCAAAAUCAGACUUGGUCUGUUGUCCCUCUUCCACAUGACAAGCACUCUAUCGGUUGUAGAUGGGUUUAUAAAAUCAAUUACAAAUCUGAUGGCACCAUAGAGAGGCAUAAAUCCGGUUUAGUGGCAAAAGGGUAUACUCAACAAUCUUACUUGAUACUUUUUCUCCAAUUGCCAAGUUGGUUAUUGUCAAAAUCUUACUUGCUCUUGUUGCUAUUAACAAAUGGUCUCUAGCUCAACUUGAUGUUAGUAACGCUUUUCUUAAUGGUGAUAUCUUUGAGGAGGUGCACAUGGAUCUUCCACCUGGUUAUCAGUUUAACAAUAAGGUUUCUUCUCAGGGGGAGAGGUUAGUAUGCAAGUUACACAAGUCCAUUUAUGGCUUGAAACAAACCUCCUGGUAGUGGUUUUCUAAAUUUUCUAUUGUGCUUGUUCAUCAUGGUUUUUAUCAGUCUUGGCCUGAUUACUCUUUAUUCACUAAGGGUACUGGCACUCCUUGUUUCUGUUGAUGACAUCAUUAUCACUAGCCCUAACAUUACAGUCAUAGACUCUAUCAAGGUCUUUCUUCACAGCCAGUUUAAGCUUAAAGACCUUGGUCGGUUAAGGUACUCUCUUGGCUUGGAGA